UACGUAAGUGGCGAGCGUUAUCCGGAAUUACUGGGCGUAAAGCGUGCGUAGGCGGUUUAGUGUGUGGGAAUUGAAAGCCCGGGGCUCAACUCCGGAUCCGGUUCCCAAACUGCUAGACUCGAGCGUAUCAGAGGACAGUGGAAUUCCCGGUGUAGCGGUAAUAUGCGUAGAUAUCUGGAGGAACACCGGUGGCGAAGGCGGCAUCCUGGACCGGCAUUGACGCUGAGGCGCGAAAGCUAGGGGAGCAAACGGG
rnacentral:rRNA from 1 species